rnacentral:rRNA from 1 species
AACGUAGGAGGCAAGCGUUAUCCGGAAUUACUGGGCGUAAAGGGCGCGUAGGCGGCCUGUUAAGUCGAACGUGAAAUCCCCGGGCUCAACCCGGGAACUGCGUCCGAUACUGGCAGGCUUGAAUCCGGGAGAGGGAUGCGGAAUUCCAGGUGUAGCGGUGAAAUGCGUAGAUAUCUGGAGGAACACCGGUGGCGAAGGCGGCAUCCUGGACCGGUAUUGACGCUGAGGCGCGAAAGCCAGGGGAGCAAACGGG